rnacentral:lncRNA from 1 species
GGGCGCAGGAGAAAUCAAACCAGGUUGGUUAGCUCGCAGGAGAAGAACGGCGCAGCGGAGAAGCAAAGGUGAGGCGGAGAAGCAAAGGUGCGGCAGAGAAGCAGGGGCGGUGGAGAAGAAUGGCGGUCGGAGGAAUGCUGGCGUCAAUGACGGAAGAAAGGUCGCAGCUCGCGGCGGAGACGGAGACGAAAGUUGUUCAGGUUUUCUGAUAAUUGAUCGCGUGAAGAAGAAAACUGUACAAAGUUUUUUUUUAACCUAUUUAAACCAUACUAUCGCG